UGGGGACACUCUACUCAUCUGUGGGGCCACAGAAGACAGGACAGUGACUACCACCACCAUGGCCUGGUCCCCUCUCCUCCUCACCCUGCUGGCUCACUGCACAGGGUCCUGGGCCCAGUCUGUGCUGACUCAGCCGCCCUCCGUGUCUGGAUCCCCGGGCCAGAAGUUCACCAUCUCCUGCACUGGAAGUAGCAGCAACAUCGGGGAUAAUUAUGUAAACUGGUACCAACAUCUGCCAGGAACGGCCCCCAAACUCCUGAUCUACAGUAACAGCAAUAGGGCCUCGGGGGUCCCGGACCGCUUCUCUGGCUCCAAGUCUGGCAGCUCGGCCUCCCUGACCAUCACUGGGCUCCAGGCUGAGGACGAGGCUGACUAUUACUGCUCAUCCUGGGAUGACAGCCUCAGUGGUCACACAGUGCUCCAGGCCCAUGGGGAAGUGAGACAGAAACCUGCUGUCCCCCAGCCAUGGGGCUCCCUGGGCAGAGACUCCCUCUGCCAAGUCAGCUGCUUCCUUUGUUUGCUUGGCAAAGAAACAAACCCCAGUGAACUUACUCUAAGAGACACCAGAACUGUUUCCUAG